rnacentral:misc_RNA from 1 species
AGUCGUAACAAGGUUUCCGUAGGUGAACCUGCGGAAGGAUCAUUACUAGAGCAAAGGAUAGGCAGCCCUACUUCGGUAGGGUUGUCGUCGGGCCUCUCGCAGAAGCUCGGUCCUGAACUCCACCCUUGAAUAAAUUACCUUUGUUGCUUUGGCGGGCCGCCUCGCGCCAGCGGCUUCGGCUGUUGAGUGCCCGCCAGAGGACCACAACUCUUGUUUUUAGUGAUGUCUGAGUACUAUAUAAUAGUUAAAACUUUCAACAACGGAUCUCUUGGUUCUGGCAUCGAUGAAGAACGCAGCGAAAUGCGAUAAGUAAUGUGAAUUGCAGAAUUCAGUGAAUCAUCGAAUCUUUGAACGCACAUUGCGCCCUCUGGUAUUCCGGGGGGCAUGCCUGUUCGAGCGUCAUUAUAACCACUCAAGCUCUCGCUUGGUAUUGGGGUUCGCGGUCUCGCGGCCCCUAAAAUCAGUGGCGGUGCCUGUCGGCUCUACGCGUAGUAAUACUCCUCGCGAUUGAGUCCGGUAGGUCUACUUGCCAGCAACCCCCAAUUUUUACAGGUUGACCUCGGAUCAGGUAGGGAUACCCGCUGAACCUAAGCAUAUCA